rnacentral:rRNA from 1 species
AUUGAACGCUGGCGGCAGGCUUAACACAUGCAAGUCGAGCGAGCGGCGGACGGGUGAGUAAUGUCGGGGAAACUGCCUGAUGGAGGGGGAUAACUACGGGAAACGGUAGCAAAUACCGUAUACCAUCAGAUGUGCCCAGAUGGGAUUAGCUAGUAGGUGGGGUAAUGGCUCACCUAGGCGACGCUCUCUAGCUGGUCUGAGAGGAUGACCAGCCACACUGGAACUGAGACACGGUCCAGACUCCUACGGGAGGCAGCAGUGGGGAAUAUUGCACAAUGGGCGCAAGCCUGAUGCAGCCAUGCCGCGUGUGUGAAGAAGGCCUUCGGGUUGUAAAGCACUUUCAGCGGGGAGGCGUUACUCGCAGAAGAAGCACCGGCUAACUCCGUGCCAGCAGCCGCGGUAAUUC